AACCGUGCAAAGGUAGCGCAAUCACUUGUCUCCUAAAUAGAGACUAGUAUGAAUGGUUUAAUGAGGACCAACCUGUCUCCUAUGGACAAUCCGUAAAACUGAACUCCCAGUACAAAUGCUGGGAUAACUCUAUAAGACGAGAAGACCCCGUGGAGCUUCUAAACAAACUACGAAGAAAACUCGUACACUAGUUUUUAGUUGGGGCGACUUUGGAAAUAAAAAAAACUUCCAAGCACAGGACCACCCAUCCUAAAUAAGGCCAACACGCCAGCACAACACGACCCGGUUCUCACACAACCGAAAAACGAACCAAGUUACCCCGGGGAUAACAGCGCUAUCUUCUUUUAGAGUCCAUAUCAACAAGAAGGUUUACGACCUCGAUGUUGGAUCAGGACACCCAAAUGGUGCAGCCGCUAUUAACGGUUCGUUUGUUCAACGAUUAACAGUCCUACGUGAUCUGAGUUCAGACCGGA
rnacentral:rRNA from 1 species